UUGUUGAAGCUGGGUUUGUGUUUUGUGUGGAAUGUGUUUUGUGUAUCCACACACAAAAAAAAGUUACCGGACGGUGGCAAUAGUUAGCCAAUGUGAUCAGGGCAAGACGACGGACGAGGUGAAAGAGUACUAUGAAGUACGAACACGAUUAUCUUGAUGAAGAUGGUGAUGCUAUUGGCGAGGAAUUUGUUGUUAGGGUGAAAAAAGAAGAGUAAGCAGUUGCGAAUUUGGCUUUGGAGUUGUUAGCGACAGUUAUUGGAUAAAAAUGUGGAGAAAAGGACAAGAAGAAUGCGACUCGAUGGACUAAAGAAGAACACUGACGGAAAGUCGGAAACCAUUGCAAGAUAUGGGACAUAGAUUAUAUGGCAAAAAAUGUUGGGUUUAUACUCUCACACCAACCGCUUUAGCAAUCACGGGUCAGCGGGUCAUAGAGUGAUAUAUAUAGUCGGGUGGCGGGUUUGAACGGGUCAAAGAGGCUGGUGAUUUUCAGCAGGUCGUGGAGUUGAAUAUAAAGUCAGAUUUAGUAAAGAGCAGCUGCUUCUCCAGGCGGGAGUGGGACAUCAUUCUUUGAUAACAUAACAACAUCACUGGCGCCAUAUGCGAGCUGGCCUAGAUCUGCUGCGAACAUGAUGAACACACCAUCAACACAACUACAAACUCAGCAACAACACCAGCAACGCUGACCUAUAACUGAAUCCAUGAGCUGACAUCAGCCAAUCGGCUAAAAAACAAGCAUUGACUUUUGGAACUGCAACACUUAAAAGUUUGGUGCAAUGCAAUGUGAGGGAUGAGCACCCUGUUCUUUCAUGUGCACUUCUUCCUAAUAAGAUGGGAUCAUUGCAAUUAGAUCUAGAAUUUGAUGAAGCUGGAGAUUUAAUCUCUUCUAUUAUUGGUAUACGUUAUGUAUCUCACUGGUACUAUGUUGGUCACAAUGGGCAUUCAAAUAUGCAAGAUGAUUCGUGUCCUUAUGUUAUUAUUGCUUUGCGUUAUCAUGAA